UCUUGGUUAGAUGCUGAGGGUUUAAAGCUAAGAUAAGAAACCUUCCUAGGAGUUAGGUCUACAGGAGAAGCUGUUCCUUUUAUAUUGAGGACACUUAUUGAGAAAGCACCAACACCCCAGACUGUGCCAACAGCUAGGGAUGCAAAGAAGGCAAUGUGUCACCCCAGACCCUCUAGGACUCUACGUGGUAUGGAGCUGUGAAGAGCAAAAUCGGUGCCCUUCAGGGAGAGAGAUAAAUUCUGACUCUUGACAAGGGAGGUGGAAGCAGGAACAUCUGUACCUUGAAGACUCUUCAUAGACAGAGGAGGUGACCCAUGACCUGUAUCUGUAAGGUACAUGGAGAUCAACAGAAAAUAAAAAUCCACAUGAGCUUUCA